rnacentral:rRNA from 1 species
AUCUGCCUUUGAGCGGGGGACAACAUUUGGAAACGAAUGCUAAUACCGCAUAACAACUUUAAACACAAGUUUUAAGUUUGAAAGAUGCAAUUGCAUCACUCAAAGAUGAUCCCGCGUUGUAUUAGCUAGUUGGUGAGGUAAAGGCUCACCAAGGCGAUGAUACAUAGCCGACCUGAGAGGGUGAUCGGCCACAUUGGGACUGAGACACGGCCCAAACUCCUACGGGAGGCAGCAGUAGGGAAUCUUCGGCAAUGGACGAAAGUCUGACCGAGCAACGCCGCGUGAGUGAAGAAGGUUUUCGGAUCGUAAAACUCUGUUGGUAGAGAAGAACGUUGGUGAGAGUGGAAAGCUCAUCAAGUGACGGUAACUACCCAGAAAGGGACGGCUAACUACGUGCCAGCAGCCGCGGUAAUACGUAGGUCCCGAGCGUUGUCCGGAUUUAUUGGGCGUAAAGCGAGCGCAGGUGGUUUAUUAAGUCUGGUGUAAAAGGCAGUGGCUCAACCAUUGUAUGCAUUGGAAACUGGUAGACUUGAGUGCAGGAGAGGAGAGUGGAAUUCCAUGUGUAGCGGUGAAAUGCGU